rnacentral:rRNA from 1 species
GACGAACGCUGGCGGCGUGCUUAACACAUGCAAGUCGAACGGAAAGGCCCUGCUUUUGUGGGGUGCUCGAGUGGCGAACGGGUGUGUAACACGUGAGUAACCUGCCCUUGACUUUGGGAUAACUUCAGGAAACUGGGGCUAAUACCGGAUAGGAGCUCCUGCUGCAUGGUGGGGGUUGAAAAGUUUCGGCGGUUGGGGAUGGACUCGCGGCUUAUCAGCUUGUUGGUGGGGUAGUGGCUUACCAAGGCUUUGACGGGUAGCCGGCCUGAGAGGGUGACCGGCCACAUUGGGACUGAGAUACGGCCCAGACUCCUACGGGAGGCAGCAGUGGGGAAUAUUGCACAAUGGGCGGAAGCCCGAUGCAGCAACGCCGCGUGCGGGAUGACGGCCUUCGGGUUGUAAACCGCUUUCGCCUGUGACGAAGCGUGAGUGACGGUAAUGGGUAAAGAAGCACCGGCUAACUACGUG